rnacentral:rRNA from 1 species
UACGUAGGCAGCAAGCGUUGUUCGGAGUUACUGGGCGUAAAGAGUGCGUAGGCGGUCCUGUAAGUUUGGUGUGAAAUCUCCCGGCUCAACUGGGAGGGUGCGCCGAAGACUGCAGGGCUUGAGUAUGGGAGAGGUAAGCGGAAUUCCUGGUGUAGCGGUGAAAUGCGUAGAGAUCCGGAGGAACACCGACGGCGUAGGCAGCGCCCUAGACGAGACCUGACGCUCAGGCACGAAAGCGCGGGGAGCGAACAGG